GGGCCCGCACAAGCAGUGGAGUAUGUGGUUUAAUUCGAAGCAACGCGAAGAACCUUACCAGGUCUUGACAUCCCUUGCAUAGCCUAGAGAUAGGUGAAGUCUUCGGACAAGGAGACAGGUGGUGCAUGGUUGUCGUCAGCUCGUGUCGUGAGAUGUUGGGUUAAGUCCCGCAACGAGCGCAACCCUUGUAUUUAGUUGCUACAUUUAGUUGAGCACUCUAGAUAGACUGCCGUUGACAAAACGGAGGAAGGUGGGGAUGACGUCAAAUCAUCAUGCCCCUUAUGACCUGGGCUACACACGUACUACAAUGGCGAGUAAACAGAGGGCAGCAACACAGCGAUGUGAAGCGAAUCCCAAAAAUACGUCUCAGUUCGGAUUGCAGGCUGCAACCCGCCUGCAUGAAGUCGGAAUUGCUAGUAAUCGCGGAUCAGCAUGCCG
rnacentral:rRNA from 1 species